CCGUGACAGGCCAUAAAAGUCACGAGGCAAGGAGGAAAACAAGAAGGUGUCCAUAGUUCAAGCACAGCACCCCCGCGACUCCCGGGCCGCAGCUCCCGGCGGGAGCUGAAAACCCGGCGAACACCGUGGGAUCUCGCUGCUGCGUGGGAGGCACCAUUUCUGCGAGAAGAGGCUCCUGCUGCUACUUGGCAGCCGAGCCUGGGAGCGGGCCUGCGCUCCGGGCCCUCCCUGCUGCCGACAGCGGGCGGGGGAGCGGGGGGCGGCACGGGCGCUGCCGUCGGGGCGCGGAGCCCCCAGGCAAAGAUGCGGCCCCCAGGGGCUGCCGCGGGCCGGGCGGACCGGAGUCCCUUCGCCGCCCACUCGGGGGGCACCGGGGCUUCCGCGGCGGCCGCGACCUCGCGGAGCUCCGCGCCCCGAUGGCGCCCGCACCGCGCGCCCGCACCGGGCCCGCAGCGGGAGGAGCGACGCUCUCCUUCCCCGGAGAUCCCUCCUCCCGUCCCCCUCGGGUCCUAAAAUGGUGGGUCGGCCGGCCGCCCUCCCUCCCCUUCCUUCUCCCCCUUAUCCCGUCCCCUGCCCGCCCCGCGCUCCCGGAGUCCGCCUGUCGCCCCCGCCCCGGCCUCGCGGGGCAGCCGCCCCUCCGUCCGUCCCGGCCCGGGCUCCGCGGGGAUCCGGCACCAGGCCCGCGCGUCUCCCGGGAAUACGGCAACGGCGAUCCCGGGAAUACGGCAACGCCGCCCCCGGCGGCCGCCCUUACCUGCGCCGUGCUCACAUCGCGGGGCCGGGGCCAGCGCUGCCCCCCCCGGCGCCCCUGGGCCGCCGCCUCGCCGCCGCCCUGUGCGGGGCCGCAGCUAAAUCCUUGUGCAAAUCUGAAGCAGAAUCCUCAUGCUGCAGUAAAUGGUUGCCCAGCCCAUGCUACCUUUCACAUCCACAUGCAGGCAUCAGGAGAAAUCAGGAGGUCAUCUGUUAAAAAAACCAGGCAAGAAAAGAAAGCAAUUGACCAGCAAAGAGAGACCUUCUUAAGUAAAACAGCCAGGUGCAGAGCUAUGGGAAGAGACUUCCCAGUCCCUGUACUGGAAAAGAACUGCUAAGGCUGGGAAAAAGGAAAUGGAAGGACACGCAAACACCUGUUAAAAGCUCUGCCAUCUGUAAAAGCAGGGACACAUUCUGCAUGCUUGGAGGUGCUCUGGGGUAAGAAAGGCAAGGCUGCCCUUUCAAGAGGGGAAACACUGACAAGACAGGGACUGACAAAGAGAAGUCUCCUCUGUGGUUCUGUGCUUGAAGAUGGGUAAGCACAAACACCUCAGCCACAGUCGGGCAGAAUUCAGCUGUGUUGUGGGGAGGCUCAGCUGGAGGGAGAGACAGAGCAGAAAAUGGCCCAAGGCAACAAAUGAGCAGCAAUGGCAACUGCAAGAGCUCCGGAAAGCAAAAAGAAGCAAAUCCAGAGAUGGGGGCUCCAGCUGAUGUGUCUCUGGCUAUUCAGACCAGUGUUGCUGAGAUGAAAAAGAAACAGAGUCUGAAAGAAAAGUCUCCUGUGCAUGCAGAGACACUUUUGUUCAAUACAUCUCAAAUAAUAUUUUAGAGAAUAGACAUAAAAUACUUCUAAAAAUGUACUGAACACACAAAACACAUCUCUUGUCCAAGAUCAAAAGAAAUAUGUUUUUCCAGUCACAAUGAAGCAAAGGGUAUAAAAAGCUGUAUUUCAGUCAUCAUUAUUACAUGUAUUUUCUUUCCAGCAGUGGACUGGAAAACUGGAUCCCAUAUAACCUAGGUGACACUGAGAAAACAAUCUCCUCAGAACCAGAUUCUUCUACUAGUAGCAUGCUGUGUCAUUGCAGAAAAAAAAAAAAAAAAAUAAAGACAGACCACUUUCCCUCAUAAAGGAAUGGUGUUUCUAAAGUGCCACAGUCCCACUGCAGGAUAGAGCUCUGCUAGCACAACAGAAAUUUACAGUAUUCUACAUCCCAGAGCUGGCAGCAGCAUUUGGGCACCAGCUGGUAACCACACAUCUGGCAUGGAGCGUCCUAGGGAUGCUCUGCUGGAAUUAGAGUAACUAAUUUGCUUUUUCCAGUAGCCUCCCAAUAUGACCCUGAGGGAGGAGCUAACUGGUAGAGAAACCAGCGAGGUGGCUGCUGUCAAAGUGAACCUUCUGGUUCUUUCCUUUUUAUAACUCCUCAAUACCUUCUGAAUUUGUCUCAUUAGUUAAUCAUGAAGUGAUUAAAUCCCAGGAAGAAGAGAAGUAUACCCUGUAACUUCUGCAACAGCAAAGGAAGGGUUGGUAGCCAGAUUCUCCUCUCCAUCUCCACAACCACAAAAAGUAAAGGGCAACUGGGCCAGGAGAAAUUAAUUAUUCCAGCCAAGUGACACUGAACAGUCAAAACAAACAAUGGCUUUGGAAAGGAACUCCAGUUAUGUGCUUACAUUGGUGAGCAAUCCCAUCCUAGCUGCUAGAGAACAGCUGUGAACCCUAAGGCCACUUUGAUUUGGCAUAGUUUAAAAUAAAUUAAUAAAGAUCUUAGAAAUAAA